CCCUUAGAUGUCCGGGGCUGCACGCGCGCUACACUGAAGGAAUCAGCGUGCUAAAACCAUUGUCGAAAGGCAUUGGUAAACCCAUUAAAAUCCUACGUGAUUGGGAUCGGGAAUUGCAAUUAUUUCCCUUGAACGAGGAAUUCCCAGUAAGUGUGGGUCAUAAGCUCGCGUUGAUUACGUCCCUGCCCUUUGUACACACCGCCCGUCGCUGCCCGGGACUGAGCCGUUUCGAGAAAAGCGGGGACUGCUGCUGUCGGGGCUUUCGGGCCUUGGCUUCGGUGGAAACCGCUUUAAUCGCAGUGGCUUGAACUGGGCAAAAGUCGUAACA
rnacentral:rRNA from 1 species